GAUGAACGCUGGCGGCGUGCCUAAUACAUGCAAGUCGAGCGAACAGACGAGGAGCUUGCUCCUUUGACGUUAGCGGCGGACGGGUGAGUAACACGUGGGUAACCUACCUAUAAGACUGGGAUAACUUCGGGAAACCGGAGCUAAUACCGGAUAAUAUUUCGAACCGCAUGGUUCGAUAGUUAAAGAUGGCUUUGCUAUCACUUAUAGAUGUACCUGCGCCGUAUUAGCUAGUUGGUAAGGUAACGGCUUACCAAGGCAACGAUACGUAGCCGACCUGAGAGGGGGAUCGGCAACACUGGAACUGAGAAACGGACCAGACACCUACGGGAGGCAGCAGUAGGGAAUCUUCCGAAAUGGGCGAAAGCAUGACGGAGCAAAGCCGCGUGAGUGAUGAAGGUCUUCGGAUCGUAAAACUCUGUUAUGAGGGAAGAACAAACGUGUAAGUAACUGUGCACGUAUUGACGGUACCUAAUCAGAAAGCAACGGCUAACUACGUG
rnacentral:rRNA from 1 species